rnacentral:tRNA from 1 species
GGCGGUGUGGUGGAAUGGCAGACACGCCUGACUCAAAAUCAGGUAUCCUUUGGAUGUGCAGGUUCAAGUCCUGUCACCGCUA